rnacentral:rRNA from 1 species
UGGGGAAUAUUGGACAAUGGGCGAAAGCCUGAUCCAGCCAUGCCGCGUGUGUGAAGAAGGUCUUCGGAUUGUAAAGCACUUUCAGUUGGGAGGAAGGGCAGUAAGCGAAUACCUUGCUGUUUUGACGUUACCGACAGAACAAGCACCGGCUAACUCUGUGCCAGCAGCUGCGGUAAUACAGAGGGUGCAAGCGUUAAUCGGAAUUACUGGGCGUAAAUCGCGCGUAGGUGGUUCGUUAAGUUGAAUGUGAAAGCCCCGGGCUCAACCUGGGAGCAGCAUCCAAAACUGGCGAGCUAGAGUAGGGCAGAGGAUGGUGGAAUUUCCUGUGCAGCGGUGAAAUGCGUAGAUAUAGGAAGGAACACCAGUGGCGAAGGCGACCACCUGGGCUCAUACUGACACUGAGGUGCGAACACGGGGGGAGCAAACAGU